rnacentral:rRNA from 1 species
UACGUAGGUGGCAAGCGUUAUCCGGAAUUACUGGGUGUAAAGGGAGCGCAGGCGGGAUAGCAAGUCAGCUGUGAAAACUAUGGGCUCAACCCAUAAACUGCAGUUGAAACUGUUAUUCUUGAGUGGAGUAGAGGCAAGCGGAAUUCCGAGUGUAGCGGUGAAAUGCGUAGAUAUUCGGAGGAACACCAGUGGCGAAGGCGGCUUGCUGGGCUCUAACUGACGCUGAGGCUCGAAAGUGUGGGGAGCAAACAGGAUUAGAUACCCGUGUAGUGCUGACUGACU